rnacentral:rRNA from 1 species
GGAAUCUUCCACAAUGGGCGAAAGCCUGAUGGAGCAACGCCGCGUGUGUGAUGAAGGGCUUCGGCUCGUAAAACACUGUUGUAAGAGAAGAAUGACAUUGAGAGUAACUGUUCAAUGUGUGACGGUAUCUUACCAGAAAGGAACGGCUAAAUACGUGCCAG